rnacentral:rRNA from 1 species
GAGUUGAUGGCGGCAGACGCGAAACCGGGUGAUCUACACUUGUCCAGGAUGAAGUUCCGGUAACACGGAAUGGAGGUCCGCACCAAUAAGCGUUGAAAAGCUUCUGGAUGAGGUGAGUGUAGGAGUGAAAGGCCAAUCAAACCCGGAGAUAGCUCGUACUCCCCGAAAGGCAUUUAGGUGCCGCCUGUGACGUUUCCCUUGUGAGGUAGAGCGACUGAUAGGAUGCGAGGGCUUCACCGCCUGUCAAGUCCUGACAAACUCCGAAUGCUCAAGGGUCAAGUCAUGGAGUAAGGGCAUGGGUGCUAAGGUCCGUGCCCGAGAGGAGAAGAAUCCAGACCACCGGCUAAGGUCCCGAAAUACUGGUUAAGUUAGACUAACGUGGUCCGGCCCCCCAGACAGCUAGGAUGUUGGCUUGGAAGCAGCCAUUCAUUCAAAGAGUGCGUAACAGCUCACUAGUCGAGGAGCCGGGCGUGGAUAAUAAUCGGGUAUAAAACCAGCUACCGAAGCCGUGGGAUGCAUUAAGCAUCGGUAGGGGAGCAUUCCAUUCGGCGUCGAAGGCGGGGCGUGAGCCCCUCUGGAGCGUAUGGAAAAGCAAAUGCAGGUAUAAGUAACGAUAAGGGGGGUGAGAUGCCCCCCCGCCGAAAGACCAAGGUUUCCUGAACAACGCUAAUCGGUUCAGGUUCAGUCGGUCCCUAAGGAUAAGCCUAACGGCGAGGCCGAUGGAAAAACGGUUAAUAUUCCGUUACUUACAUGACGUGUGACGCGGUGACGCAGUGGUGACACGGCCGCCGCCUGACGGAACAGGCGGUUGAAGGGCGUAUGCUAUGAGAGGGGCAGGCAAAUCCACCCCUUGAGCUGAACCCCGAGAGUACGGUGCGUCCUUCGGGACAAUCCGACAGUGCCGGUAAUCUGGCUGCCAAGAAAACCCGCUAAACUUCAGCGUCAUGUAAUCCGUACCGUAAACGGACACACGUGGUCGGGUUGAAUAUACUAAGGCGCUUGGGAGAUUCACGGUUAAGGAACUAGGCAAAUUGACCCCGUACCUUCGGAAUAAGGGGUCCUCAAGCAAUUGAGGCGCAGAGAAUAGGUCCAGGCAACUGUUUAACAAAAACACAGGACUGUGCAAACUCGAAAGAUGAGGUAUACAGUCUGACACCUGCCCGGUGCCGGAAGGUUAAGAGGAGAUGUCACCGCAAGGGAAGCAUUGAAUUGAAGCCCCGGUAAACGGCGGCCGUAACUAUAACGGUCCUAAGGUAGCGAAAUUCCUUGUCGGGUAAGUUCCGACCUGCACGAAUGGUGUAAUGAUCCGGACACUGUCUCAACCGUGAUCCCAGUGAAAUUGUAGUAUCGGUGAAGAUGCCGAUUACCCGCGAUGGGACGAAAAGACCCCGUGAACCUUUACUACAGCUUAACGUUGUAUUCGGGCAUCCGAUGUGUAGGAUAGGCCGGAGACUGUGAAUCGUGUACGCCAGUAUGCGUGGAGUCGCUGUUGAAAUACGGCCCUUUGGCUGUCUGAAUCCUAACUUGCGAUAUGCAAGGACCGCGUUUGGCGGGUAGUUUGACUGGGGUGGUCGCCUCCAAAAGUGUAACGGAGGCUCCUAAAGGUGCCCUCAGGCCGAUUGGUAACCGGCCGCAGAGUGUAAUGGCAGAAGGGCGCUUGACUGUGAGGCCGACAGGCCGCCCAGGCAGGAAACUGGAGCAUAGUGAUCCGGCGGUUCCGUAUGGAAGGUCCGUCGCUCAAAGGAUAAAAGGUACUCCGGGGAUAACAGGCUGAUCCCUCCCAAGAGCUCAUAUCGACGGAGUGGUUUGGCACCUCGAUGUCGGCUCGUCACAUCCCGGGGCUGGAGAAGGUCCCAAGGGUUGGGCUGUUCGCCCAUUAAAGUGGCACGCGAGCUGGGUUCAGAACGUCGUGAGACAGUUCGGUCUCUAUCUAUCGUGGGCGCAGGAAAUUUGCGUGGCUCCGACACUAGUACGAGAGGACCGUGUUGGAC